AGAUUCAUCAGUAGAAUUUCACAUUUUGAAUCAUUUACCAGGGGCCAGGGAAAUUGUAGCAAUUAAGAACGUUCUUGAACACGAGAAGCUAGAGCCUAAGGUCUGUCAUUUUUCUGUUAGUCUGUCAUUGUUAUUCUAACAGAAUACCCUUUAAUGGAACUACAUUGGGCAGGUGGAAACUCAGAAGGUAAUAAUAGAUCAAUGUGAUACAAGAAUAAUCACGGAUAUGGGCUUAUGAGAGUACGCGUUGGACCCGAGACUUGGUGCGUGCAAUUGAAGAGACAAAGAGGACUUAAUUAUGCACCAAAAACCGUCCAUACACUACACUUGGACUACACUCCAUAGGUGCCUUUUGUCUUUCCUUCAUUAAGGGUUUUUGGACAUUUCACUUAUGUUGUAAUAAGUCUAUAAAUAGGCUAGUAUUAGGUCUUUAUUUCUUUAGUUGUUUAUUGAUAUUGAAAGUUGUAACACUU
rnacentral:lncRNA from 1 species